GAAAACAUGCCACUUAUUAAGUUAAAAACCCAAACAGUUUGCAGUUCGUACAUUGGUACCGUGAACCUCACGCUGCGCCCACCGCCGUCCCCACCCCCGUCGUAUCGUCGCUGCGAGACGACACUGCACGUAUUUUGAACCAGUCUUUGCAGACUCGUCGCCAGUUACUGCUUCGCAGCAGCUCGUAUAUGCACGAACGGACGGAGUUUUCAACAAGCCGACCCGCAGCACCGCCGCCGUUCCUCCAGCGCUCAACAAUCGCCGUCGCAGGCAAGGGUCGAGAUGUGAGUUCGGGAGAGUUCUGUUGAACAACAAAAUGUUGAAAUUCUCUGCAAGUCCCAAUAAUCUUUAGAGGUGAUGUGGGGCAAAAACAGGUGUGGGUAUUUAGCAAUUUUUACUUUGUGAUAGUCCAUUUAUGACUUAUGCUUCAUUUCUCAUCAACUAAUUCUUCUUUCCUUUAUCUAUCCUUUUUUUUUUUGGUUUCUAUAUAUCUUAAUUGAGGAUUAUUAUUUUGCUUUGUAGUUGAUGAAGUUCGUUUAGACAUUUUGUCAAUUUGUUAGGAACACACAUAACCUACCUACAUUUCCUCAAGAUCUCUUGCACCAUUCUUAGGCCCUAAUGCUCCAUUUAGGGCAUACCGAGCAUAUGAGCAAGAUGAAAAAAAUGAUAGUGACGAUACAAUCAUUGAAGCCUCUACCAAUUCCAAUUUUUGCAUAUUAGUGAUUCACUUAAGCAUAUACAUAGCGUGUGCUUGUGUUGGGACAAUGGUAGCAUGAACAAAGAAGAUCUUGUCAGACCUAGUUGCAAGAUAUUAGAAAAAGAUUGUCACCAGAUAAGAAGAUUUUUCAGGCAAGUUUUACACGGUGUUGUUCUUUUUCUAAAAUUUAAUUUAUAGCAGAAGACAAAAACUUUUACUUCUUUCUCAAGUUCUUAUAUUUUAUAGUUAUUUCAUUAUAUUCAUUUUUAUUAAUUAUAUUUUUGAAUUUUUUUUUAUAAAUUUUUAGCCCUGUUUUUUUAAUGGUAGAAGACAAUUUUUCUACUGAAAAGAUUGCCACCGGAAUAGGAGCAGAAGUCCGUCUUCCUCUUGAAGUAAAUUCUUAUAUUUUCCUGUUAUUUUAUUCAUAUUUAUUUUUAUUAAUUACAUUUUUUUUGAAUUUUUGUAUAAUUUUUUAGCCCCGACUUUUUUACAAAAAUUUUCUUCAAGAAAAACCAGGAGCAGCAGAAGUCUAUUUUUUUAAAAGUAAAUUUUUCAAUGAAUUUGAAGUUUUGAAUAAAUUUUCAUUGAUGAAUUAUCCAAUAUAUAUAUUUUUUUUAUAAUUUAAAUUUUUCAAUAAAUUUUCAUUGAUGAAUUAUCCAAUAAAUUUUUCUAUAAUUUAAGUUUUUUUAUUUUGUUAUUCUCUAAAUUGUUUAUUUUGUUAUUCUCUAAAUUGUUUAUUUUGGUGUGGAGAGUAAUAAAGUUAUUUUCUAAAUUGUUUGCCGGAGGAUUCGCUAGCUUUUAUUCCUAAAUUUUGUUUAGUUUUGUUGAUUUAUUUUUAUGGUUUCACGAGGUUAUAUUUACUGCAGCCAGACAAUAUUUUUUUUAGACAUUUAAAUUAAAAAAUUUAAUUUAUUUAUGGUUAUUUUUUUUUUCAUUUUGUAUUUAAUUUUUUCCCAUAGCGAUUUGCUUUCACUUAUAGCA